UUACGGUCAAAUCACGCUGAAACACCGGUUCUCGUACGAUCAUCGAAGUUAAGCAUCGUAGAGCCAGGUCAGUACUUAGAUGGGGACCGCUUGGGAACACCUGGUACUGUAAG
rnacentral:rRNA from 1 species